rnacentral:rRNA from 1 species
AAUAUUGGACAAUGGGGGCAACCCUGAUCCAGCCAUGCCGCGUGUGUGAAGAAGGUCUUCGGAUUGUAAAGCACUUUAAGUUGGGAGGAAGGGCUUUAGGCUAAUACCCUGAAGUUUUGACGUUACCAACAGAAUAAGCACCGGCUAACUCUGUGCCAGCAGCCGCGGUAAUACAGAGGGUGCAAGCGUUAAUCGGAAUUAAUGGGCGUAAAACGCGCGUAGGUGGUUCAGUAAGAUUGGUGUGAAAUCCCCGGGGUUAACCUGGGAACUGCUUUCCUAACUGCUGGGCCAGAGUAAGGUAGGGGGUAGUGGAAUUUUCUGUGGAGCGGUGAAAUGCGUAGAUAUAGGAAGGAACACCAGUGGCGAAGGCGACUACCUGGACUGAUACUGACAAUGAGGUGCGAAAGCGUGGGGAGCAAACA